CGUGCCACCCUCCUGGGAAGAGCUGAGUAGAGCCCCAAAGGAGAGGUCACCCCGCAGCUACGGAGCAGAGGCCAGAGGGGGUUGCAGUGGCGUGCCCGCGGGCUCUGCCGGCAGCCAGCUGUGUCAGAGAGGACCGAGCUUCAGGCCUCGAGGCCAGAGGCCUGAGGGCAUCCCACCCCUGCCGGGCCACAGGCACCCGGCCCCGCCAAUCAGCCACCAGGAGUGAGCCGGUACAUAUAUGAGCGCCCAGCCGACAAGGACCACCAACACACCAACAUCUGAGGGCAUCAGCCACCGGCAGGGAGUGUGGUGAGGGGAGAUAGGCCUCCGUACUUUAGAGGGCCUGAGAUGUACCCAGAGAGGUUGGGUUUAAGACCCAACCUGACAUAUAGACACAGACGAACAGGCACACGCGGACACAGACGUGCAUUCCCACCCCAUAUGCACAACCAAAUACUCGGCACUCACCCAACGUGUAGACAGACACAAAUAGACACUGCACAGACAGUCGCACUCCCCAAACUCUAUAUCCCAGGUCCAGGUAACCCCGCCCGGACCUUUAAUAAUCUAUUAAUUAAUGGAUAACUGUUUCACUAUUUCAGUUGAAUCAGAGGAUGUCACAUAUUCUUUGGUGGAGCUUAAAAACACCACUCCAAGGAAGAAGCCCAAGAUACCAGAGGAGAGUUGUGUUUACUCUGAUGUUAAAAUACGACCUUCCUCAGGUACAGUACAGUCAGUGACAACAAUCCUGCUUUUAAAUGUUUCUUUUUUUAAUAUCACAUAAAGAAUAAUCAGCAAUCUGUAUUUUAUUCCUUGGUGUCGCAGUAAGACAUUCCUGGAGAAACCCAUCUGGGAACAGUUAGGAGAAAUUUAGGACUGUUUUUGACAGCUGGUCAGUCAGAGGCAAUCAAUUUUUUCACCCCUUACUUCUACAGUAGAAGUGUUGUCAUAUCAUCUGUUGAUUAUCGCGUCUUAACAAAAAUGAAGAAAAAAGUGCCAACUGAAGCAUAAAUCUUUGUGACAAGGCUAAUGUUUAAUGUUAUGAGACCUGUAUCAGUAAAGUCCAAGAAAGCCCUAAAGAAGUGAAGGUUGGAUGGAUGUGAUUAGGAGCAGGACUACUUAUGAAUUCAGUGGUAGACUUUGUUUUAGACGUUAGCCUGUUGUACGCACAGGUCUCGAAUAUUAAAUCGAUAGCCAAGACAAGGAAAGGUAAGUAAAGUAAUAUAUCAGAUAAUUUUUUCUAGCACUUUCUCUUCUACAAUUUAUAAAUCCUGAAUAAAAUUU
ensembl:lncRNA